GAUCUUACCAGCAAGGAACAUUCAAAAGGUGGAAAUCAGCAACGAUCAAGAUCUUCUCCUCCACAGACACUCCUCAGUCCUGCAUCACCUGAAUUCCCAUAUUGUCCUACAAAGCAAAUUGCUUCCAUCUGAUUGAAAAGUGAUUGAGCAUUUUUUCCUCUACAAACCCCUUCCCCCAUUUGAGCACUUGAGCACUGAGAAGACAUCCAGGCACACACAUGGAGAGAAAUGCUGUCACACGCAGACAGACACAGUGUG